rnacentral:tRNA from 1 species
GCCAGCGUGGCGCAAUUGGCAGCGCAAUUGAUUUGUAAUCAAUAGGUUAUCGGUUCGAGUCCGAUCGCUGGCUCCA